UAAACUGGGAUUAGAUACCCCACUAUGCUUAGCCCUAAACUCAGAUAGUUCCUCGAACAAAUCUAUCCGCCAGAGAACUACUAGCAACAGCUUAAAACUCAAAGGACUUGGCGGUGCUUUACAUCCCUCUAGAGGAGCCUGUUCUAUAAUCGAUAAACCCCGAUACACCUCACCACCUCUCGCUAAAUCAGUCUAUAUACCGCCAUCUUCAGCAAACCCUAAAAAGGAAGAAUAGUAAGCACAAACAUCUUAACAUAAAAAAGUUAGGUCAAGGUGUAACCCAUGAGGUGGGAAGCAAUGGGCUACAUUUUCUAUAUCUAGAACAACCCUUUACGAAAGUCCUUAUGAAAUUAAGAACCAAAGGAGGAUUUAGUAGUAAAUUGAGAAUAGAGUGCUCAAUUGAAUAGGGCCAUGAAGCACGCACACACCGCCCGUCACCCA
rnacentral:rRNA from 1 species